AGAGUUUGAUCCUGGCUCAGGAUGAACGCUAGCUACAGGCUUAACACAUGCAAGUCGAGGGGCAGCAUGAAAGGAACUUCGGUUCUUUUUGAUGGCGACCGGCGCACGGGUGCGUAACGCGUAUCGAACCUGCCUCAUACUCGGGGAUAGCCUUGCGAAAGUAAGAUUAAUACCCGGCGGUCUCGGAUGGCCGCAUGACUAUCCGAGUGAAGAUUUAUCGGUAUGAGAUGGCGAUGCGUCCCAUUAGCUUGUUGGUGAGGUAAUGGCUCACCAAGGCAUCGAUGGGUAGGGGUUCUGAGAGGAAGGUCCCCCACAUUGGAACUGAGACACGGUCCAAACUCCUACGGGAGGCAGCAGUGAGGAAUAUUGGUCAAUGGACGAAAGUCUGAACCAGCCAAGUAGCGUGCAGGAAGACGGCCCUCUGGGUUGUAAACUGCUUUUAGUUGGGAAUAAAAAGAGGGACGUGUCCCUUAUUGUAUGUACCAUCAGAAAAAGGACCGGCUAAUUCCGUGCCAGCAGCCGCGGUAAUACGGAAGGUCCAGGCGUUAUCCGGAUUUAUUGGGUUUAAAGGGAGCGCAGGCGGCGGCGUAAGUCAGUUGUGAAAUCGUGCGGCUUAACCGUGCAAUUGCAGUUGAUACUGCGUCGCUUGAGUGCACACAGGGAUGUUGGAAUUCAUGGUGUAGCGGUGAAAUGCUUAGAUAUCAUGAAGAACUCCAAUCGCGAAGGCAUAUGUCCGGAGUGCAACUGACGCUGAGGCUCGAAAGUGUGGGUAUCAAACAGGAUUAGAUACCCUGGUAGUCCACACAGUAAACGAUGAAUACUCGCGGUUGGUUCGUUAGAAUCAGCCGCCAAGCGAAAGCGUUAAGUAUUCCACCUGGGGAGUACGCCGGCAACGGUGAAACU
rnacentral:rRNA from 1 species